CAGCGGAGCCGGAGAGGAAAAAACAGAGCGAGAGAGAGGAGAACAAACACACACAUACACACAGGAGAGCAUGUAUAGAAGCAUGAUGAAAUGGAGCAACACUCAUGUUCCAGAGUCUGAGGCUCUGGA